rnacentral:rRNA from 1 species
GAUGGACGCUGGCGGCGUGCCUAAUACAUGCAAGUCGAGCGAACAGACGAGGAGCUUGCUCCUCUGACGUUAGCGGCGGACGGGUGAGUAACACGUGGAUAACCUACCUAUAAGACUGGGAUAACUUCGGGAAACCGGAGCUAAUACCGGAUAAUAUAUUGAACCGCAUGGUUCCAUAGUGAAAGACGGUUUUGCUGUCACUUAUAGAUGUAUCCGCGCCGCAUUAGCUAGUUGGUAAGGUAACGGCUUACCAAGGCUACGAUGCGUAGCCGACCUGAGAGGGUGAUCGGCCACACUGGAACUGAGACACGGUCCAUACUCCUACGGGAGGCAGCAGUAGGGAAUCUUCCGCAAUGGGCGAAAGCCUGACGGAGCAACGCCGCGUGAGUGAUGAAGGUCUUCGGAUCGUAAAACUCUGUUAUUAGGGAAGAACAAAUGUGUAAGUAACUAUGCACGUCUUGACGGUACCUAAUCAGAAAGCCACGGCUAACUACGUG